GGGUGCGGGUGGCCCGGGUGAUGUCGGGGUCAUUUAUGACAUCACUGGAGAUGGCGGGAGUGUCUCUGUCAAUGAUGAGAGCAGACCAGGAGCUACUCCGACUGUUUGAUGCCAAGACCACAGCCUCUGCCUGGCCAAACCUCAGUACUGUGUGUAUCAGUGGGACGAGUUACAUUCUGGACCCUCCAGCGAAAGACAUGCAAGAGACCUCGCACACUGAAGGUCCUCUCAGUGAUGUGAUGAGGAAGGCUCUAGAAGCGGUGUGCUCUUCCCUUCUUCAACGCCAAGAGGAACUAAACUCACUGGACAGGGCAUCCGGGGACGGAGAUUGCGGGAACACUCAUGCCCAAGCUGCGAAAGGUGAAGACAUUAAUUGCAU